UACAGAGGGUGCAAGCGUUGUUCGGAAUUAUUGGGCGUAAAGGGUGCGUAGGCGGUGCGGUAAGUCUGUUGUGAAAUCUCCGGGCUCAACUCGGAGCCUGCAACGGAAACUGCCGUGCUCGAGUAUGGGAGAGGUGAGUGGAAUUCCCGGUGUAGCGGUGAAAUGCGUAGAUAUCAGGAGGAACACCUGUGGUGUAGACAGCUUACUGGACCAUGACUGACGCUGAGACACGAAAGCGUGGGUAGCAAACAGG
rnacentral:rRNA from 1 species